GAAGUGCUAGUGCCGCGGCGGCGGCGGCGGACGGCCCAGCCGGAGCGCGAGGGGCUCGGGGGGGCGCGGCGGUUCGGGUCGCAGAGCCAGGGACCCCAGGACCCGGGAGGCGGCGCAGCCGGGGCCGCCGGAGGAGCGCGGGUGACCUGGCGGCGGCGAGAUGCCGCUCGCCCAGCUCAAGGAGCCCUGGCCGCUCAUGGAGCUAGUGCCUCUGGACCCGGAGAAGCAGCUCCUGACCUCCCUUGAGGGCUCUGUGGCUCCAGUCCCUAAGCGUGCAGAAGGCCACCUCUUCCUGUGCCUUUUGACCCCAGGGUCAAGGUCAAGCCCCUGAAUGAGCUGGUGGAAAACUUCCUCCUUAACCUCUUGCUGGGAAGGAAGCAGAAUGGACAGACCUCAGGGGAAGAAGCUGGACUUCAGCCGUCCAAGGAUGAGGGCGUCCUCAAGGAGAUCUCCAUCACGCACCACGUCAAGGCUGGCUCUGAGAAGGCUGAUCCAUCCCAUUUCGAGCUCCUCAAGGUUCUGGGCCAGGGAUCCUUUGGCAAA
rnacentral:lncRNA from 10 species